AUACGGAGGAUCCGAGCGUUAUCCGGAUUUAUUGGGUUUAAAGGGUGCGUAGGCGGCCUUUUAAGUCAGCGGUGAAAGUCUGUGGCUCAACCAUAGAAUUGCCGUUGAAACUGGGAGGCUUGAGUAUGUUUGAGGCAGGCGGAAUGCGUGGUGUAGCGGUGGAAUGCUUAGAUAUCACGCAGAACCCCGAUUGCGAAGGCAGCCUGCCAAGCCAUGACUGACGCUGAUGCACGAAAGCGUGGGGAUCAAACAGGAUUAGAUACCCUGGUAGUCCACGCGGUAAACGAUGAUCACUAGCUGUUUGCGAUACACUGUAAGCGGCACAGCGAAAGCGUUAAGUGAUCCACCUGGGGAGUACGCCGGCAACGGUGAAACUCAAAUGAAUUGGCGGGG
rnacentral:rRNA from 1 species